GUGAGCCUUGAUCGACCAAACACCCCUGUACAAGAGCUUCUCUGUUAAAACCCUAAAUUCAUCCGUCUACAUCAAAAAUCAAAGAAGGAAAAUCAAGUUUGAAUCAAUUUCAAGUGAAAUUAGUGAUCAUCAUACUUAGUAUAUCACAAGGUAUGUGAAAAUUUGAUAUGUGGCAAUUUAGGUGGAACCUCAAGUAAUCAAGGAGGAUCGGAUAACCAUUUGAAAGGAAAGCUUUAAAAGGUAAAGGAAUGGACUUGCGGAUGAUGAUCAAGUCUUGUUAGAGAACCGAACACGUGCUAAAAAGGAGCUUCCGCAAAGA
rnacentral:lncRNA from 1 species